GAUGAAGAACGUAGCGAAAUGCGAUACUUGGUGUGAAUUGCAGAAUCCCGUGAACCAUCGAGUCUUUGAACGCAAGUUGCGCCCGAAGCCAUCAGGUUGAGGGCACGCCUGCCUGGGCGUCACAUAUCGUUGCCCAAUGCCUAUUGCAGUGCAAUAGGAAUUUCUAGGGCGAAUGAUGGCUUCCCGUGAGCGUUGUUGCCUCGCGGUUGGUUGAAAAUCGAGUCCUUGGUAGGGUGUGCCAUGGUAGAUGGUGGUCGAGUUAGAACGAUACCGAUCAUGUGCAUGCUCCCCAAAAUAUGGCCUCUAUGACCCACACGCGUCUUUUGACGCUCAUGACGAGACCUCAGGUCAGGCGGGGCUACCCGCUGAAUUUAAGCAUAUCAAUAAGCGGAGGA
rnacentral:misc_RNA from 1 species